CUGCUGCUGCUGCACAGCGAAAAACUCGUGAGUGAGACAAUCUGAGAAAGGAAAGAGAAGCCAAAAGUGGCUACGCGCAGUAGCGUAAGCACUAACGUGAACGAUGAACAUUUGCAUUGAGAUGGGAAGAAGCAACGAUUUACUCAUUGCCACUGUGCUACGCCACUGUGUUUACAUUAUUUUUCAAUUUCUCUCCUCACAUUUUUUCUGCUGUUUUGUUGACUAUUGAUUGUUCCUGUUUUAUCGACGAAUGAUAUGUUGAAUGCUUACCAAAAUCACCACCAGGAGGGAGUGAACGGCAUUUUCGCGCCUCUAAUACCGAGGCGCGGGACGUGACGAUCACGCAGUGUAAGCGUCUGUUGUUCAACAUGCCAUACGAAUUAUCGUUCGUAGAUUCCAGAGAAAUUGAGAAAACAGGGCACAAAAUACGACACGUGGAAUUCUACUUCGGCAACGUUAGGACUCGGGGCUUACCGUAGGGAAGAUCCUGACCAACGAAGAAGCCCCCUCGUGUAGAUGUAUGAGGGGGCUGCGAAAUGGUCCUACUAAUAUUGUGUUCUCGUCUUGGUAGAGAGAGACAAAACUUUUUUCUGGGUGGAACAGAACGUUCAUCGGAGUCUUCUUCUGCUUCUAAUACUGUCAUUUUUCGCUAACCUAAAAUGAGAAAUACCAAAACUUCAGUUUUGAAGGUUUGCGGAGGCAGAAAAAACAGUAUUAUUACUCUAUGGAUAAAAAAAAAAUACAGAACAUUCACAACGAAAAUUUUUAGGGGAGAUAAGAGGGACGUCCGGAAAAUAUGUCAAUUUGAUGGGCAAAAUAUUUUUUAAAUCAUAAAGAAAACUCGAAAAAAAUUUGGAAACGUAGUGCGAACAAGCAUCUGGCGAUGUAGUCGGGCAAUAUAUGCAUGCAUACGCAUACAGCAAUGUACAUAUGAAUAUAUAUUGUUCGUGUGUAUAUACAUAUAUGUACACGCGUAUAUAAUUAAAGGUACAUAUAUUGAGAAUAGCCUCGAGGCCUUUCACAUUCUGUACAUAUUAAACUCGUAAAUAUUGUUUAGGAAAGGGAUGCAUUCUGCAGAUAUCCGUCUUACUUACGUAUUAUCGGGUAGAGGAGUCAUGGAAUAAAUAAGUUUACGGGUUAGAGCGUCACUUCUCCGCAAUUAAUGGUCGCACAAUGUUUGUCUUUUAGUUCGCAAACCAGAACUGUUUUUCUUUUAUGAUUUUUUUGUAACGUUCCCGUGAAUACGGUGAAGACUACAUUUUAUACAACUGUUAAGAAAACGGGUACCACUUUUCACGCAGUUCCGAACUAUUUUUUUCUUUUCUUCUCUCCAAUGGCCAUUGACCACCACAGAAGGAUUUUUCACCUAUUCUCAAAGUAUGCUUGUGUCUGUGUGUAUGUGUGCGUACAAUGUGGAGUUCUCUCGCUUACGGUUACACUGAGUUCACACCCCGCUACGUUUCACACAAUCCAUAUAUGUAUAUGUUUAAUAUAUGUACAUUGAGAAUUCA